CAAGUAUUUCCAGGGUGUGUUCGAUGAGCUGUCUGUACACUGUGUUCAGUAACUUCUGAGUGUUGAUUUAUGGUUUCAUUAACAAUGCUUGUACAAACUCAGAGGAGACCGCUGCUGUAAAACGCACAGUGCUGCUUUACCUGGACCUGAAUUUGGGUUUAGUCCACUGCGUGUUCUUCCAGCUGCAGUCCAUAGCAUCGAUGUCGCCGUUGGUUUCGCAGUGGAUGUCGAUGGAAGCUCCUGAAACACGCGGGCAGAAACACUCACAGUUUAGGUAACAAUAACAAACUUCACCUGAGACAGCCGCUGUGCACUGGGAUUAUUUUGGUUCGCAUUGUUGUGCGCUCAGACGCCGCCGCUCUCUUUCCUGUCUUUGUCCACUACGGCGGAAAACUGCCGCAAAAAGGGGACGUGAACUUCCAGGAACUGAAAGUGAAAUGCUGAUGUUCCACUUUCACUCAAGUCUCAAUCUGUGCGUAAAUGAUGUCUUUGUUUCUUUGGACAUGUACCGGCGAUGGUCCUUAACACUGCAUAAUAUUUAGCUUGGCUGUUACUGGUGGCAAAGCUCACCUUCCACAUAGAUCUGGCUGUAUGGGAUGGUCCACUCCUGAGUACACUGCAGCAGCUCGUACAUCCGAGUCUCCGAGGGACGCACCGUGAUCUGGCUGACCUGUUUUGGGAAAGGAAAUGUCACAUCUGUGAAGUUGUUUACACAGACUGUACUUUCGUAGGCGAAAAUACACAGGAAAAGGAAAGAGACGCACACAGAGAGCUGCAGCUUACCCAUUGGUUGACAGGGUGGUACUGACUGCGAUGAAGCGGCUGCUGGAAGUUGAGCAUCCACAUGGCCGUGCUGGCGUUGAUGUUGUGGUCGUUGAACACGCAGUACACCGUGACGUUCUCCCCCGGUCGCGCCACCACUUUCUCAGGGAUGUAGCUCACCGCUGCGCGGGCACACAAACACACACACACACACACACACAUGAUAUAAAGAGUGUUGAGAGAACAUAGACACGUUAUGAAAGAACAAUAACAAACAAAACAAAGGCCCUCUGUUGAACAAACAUCUGACUCAUUGUCAUUUAUGCAAACUGUUCAUGUGGAUUUCUACAUUCACAAAGGCCAAAGAAACUUUCAGGGCUCUUGUAACUUCUUUUUGUUUGUUUGUUUGUUUGUCACAUGGUCUGAAAGGGCUGAGUGUGAGCUGUACCUGUGUGGAGUCCUCUGUUCUCCCAGCAAAAACAAAAGAAACAUGACUCAUCUGCCAAACAGCUGGAAGGGAGUGGUUCUUACUGUCCAGGUAGAUGUGGUGAGGUUCACUCCAGUCGCUCCACAGCGGGGGCUGGUCCAGGCUGGAGCAGCGAACCUGGAUGGUGUAGUUCAGUCUGGGCUUCAGAUCCAGAGGCAACCUGGGCUCUCCAUGUGGAGCCAUCACCUGGAAACAGCAGAGAGGGAAUCAACAAACACACACACACAUACAUCAAACUGGAUUGGAUAGUUGGGCGUGUCUGCACGGGCGAAGGAUGACUGAAUCAAAUUCGUCAUCAUAGCGUGACUGUGGUAGCUGUUCAUCAACUGGAACUGUUACCAAAACACACAACCAGACGACAGCCAGACACCUGCGACUUCAGGAUAUUUCCUUUGAAAGCCUUUUUUCACGUGUCAAAAUAAAAUGAAAAUAUGUGGCCAAAAAACACAAGGUCAUACUAAUGGGUCAAGGUCCAUGGUGGACAGGAGGCUGUGUGGCUCAGGUCCUAUCUGGUGGGCCUGAAGUUUCUCCAUGUCCUCCUGGAUUCUUCAUACAUGUUUCUGCAUUUUUAUCAUCCUGUGACUUUACUUCAUUCUGUACACACAAAAUCUAUUGCAUGUCUGUCCAUCCUGGGAGAAGAGAAGUUUCUUCUAUGUUUUUCCCCCAUUAAAAGGAGUUUUUCAUAUUUGAGCAGAGGGUCCACAGAUAGAGGGUCACUGUACACUGUGCAUAUGUAAAACCUCUUGAGGCAUAAUUGUGAUGUUGACCACAUGCAAAGAGCGACUUUAACACCCAAACUAAUGGAAAAAUAUAUAAAAAUAGUAAAAAUAGUGUCACUGAAACCAUACUUUAUUUAUGCAUUUUAAACCAUAGGUCUACAGUCUCAGGCCUGGAUGAAUCAUGGAGCUUCUGAUCCACUGCUGAAUGCUGAACACACUGCAAGUGUCUAUUAAAAACCCAACUGACUGUGAGCAAGUCGCACUAAAUAAACACAAAGUCCUGUCAGUGGAAAUUUGUGCCGCGCCGCUGCAGUGAAAGGCAAAUACAAUGCAUCACUUUGAAGCAGGACGUUGGACUUGGACGAGGUGUUUUGAACACGGACGAGCACCACAUCAGCUCCAUACAUGCCUGAAUGUAUUCGUGGGGCUCUGAUGCCAGGAACCCAGUGACUUUGAAAAGAAAGUGAAUGUCGGGAACUUGCUUUUUUCAUGACUUACUGUAACGCACUUAAAACAGUGUAAUAAGCCAUGUCAUUUUAAAAUCACAGAUCAAUGAUCAACUGAUAAGAACAAUGAUGAAUUUAAUAGAACUUGUAUAUAAACUUUUUGCAUUUUGUUGAACCGUUUUUCCUCCCACAGCUCAGCCAAUUGAAUAAAAACAAGAGUC